rnacentral:rRNA from 1 species
UACGUAGGGGGCAAGCGUUGUCCGGAAUCAUUGGGCGUAAAGCGCACGUAGGCGGCCCUGUAAGUCCGUUGUGAAAGUCGAGGGCUCAACCCUCGAAUGCCGGUGGAUACUGUCGGGCUUGAGUACGGGAGAGGCGAGUGGAAUUCCUGGUGUAGCGGUGAAAUGCGCAGAUAUCAGGAGGAACACCAAUUGCGAAGGCAGCUCGCUGGGACGCGACUGACGCUGAGACGCGAAAGCGUGGGGAGCAAACAGG